rnacentral:rRNA from 1 species
GGUUAACGCUGGCGGCGCGCCUGAUACAUGCAAGUCGAGCGAGGGCUCAUUUCUCGCAAGAGAGAUGGGUUCCUAGCGGCGAACGGGUGAGUAACACGUGGGCAACCUUUCCCAAAGUGGGGGAUAACAUCGAGAAAUCGGUGCUAAUACCGCAUGUGGUCAUCGAAGACAUCUUUGAUGAAAAAAGCAGCAAUGCGCUUUGGGGUGGACCCGCGGCCUAUCAGCUUGUUGGUGGGGUAACGCCUACCAAGGCAUUGACGGGUANCUGGUCUGAGAGGACGACCAGCCA